rnacentral:lncRNA from 1 species
AACAAAACACAUUUUGAAUUCUGUAAAAUGAGAAAUUUGAUUUGUAGUGAAGAGUGGUCAGAUUAGUCAAACAGUGAAACAGAGGAAACUUUAAGAAAAAUCUGGUAUUGAUUGGCCUAACCUAAAAUUCUGGAAAUUUAAUGGAUAGAAUAUAUACGAGUCUAUAUUCAGGAAAAAUUAACGGAAAGUGAUUUAGAGUUUUGU